rnacentral:rRNA from 1 species
GACGUAGGGCGCGAGCGUUGUCCGGAUUUACUGGGCGUAAAGGGCGCGUAGGCGGCAGAUCAAGUCAGCUGUGAAAUCUCCGAGCUUAACUCGGAACUGUCAGCUGAUACUGUUUUGCUAGAGUGCGGAAGGGGCAAUCGGAAUUCUUGGUGUAGCGGUGAAAUGCGUAGAUAUCUGGAGGAACACCGGUGGCGAAGGCGGCAUCCUGGACCGACACUGACGCUGAGGAGCGAGAGCCAGGGGAGCAAACGGG